UACGGAGAGUGCAAGCGUUGUUCGGAAUUACUGGGCGUAAAGCGCGUGUAGGCGGCCUGACAAGUCUGGCGUGAAAGCCCGGGGCUCAACCCCGGAAGUGCGCUGGAAACUGUCAGGCUUGAGUACCGGAGGGGAAGGUGGAAUUCUCGAGUGAGAGGUGAAAUUCGUAGAUAUUCGGAAGAACAUCAGUGGCGAAGGCGACCUUCUGGACGGAUACUGACGCUGAGACGCGAAAGCGUGGGGAGCAAACAGGAUUAGAUACCCUGGUAGUCCACGCUGUAAACGAUGGAUGCUAGUUGUCGCGGGUAACCAACCCUGCGGUAACGAAGCUAACGCGAUAAGCAUCCCGCCUGGGGAUUACGGCCGCAAGGCUAAA
rnacentral:rRNA from 1 species